UACGGGGGGAGCAAGCGUUGUUCGGAUUUACUGGGCGUAAAGGGCGCGUAGGCGGCACCGCAAGUCGACUGUGAAAUCUCCGGGCUUAACCCGGAAAGGUCAGCCGAUACUGCGGGGCUAGAGUGCAGAAGGGGCAACUGGAAUUCUUGGUGUAGCGGUGAAAUGCGUAGAUAUCAAGAGGAACACCUGCGGCGAAGGCGGGUUGCUGGGCCGACACUGACGCUGAUGCGCGAAAGCUAGGGGAGCGAACGGG
rnacentral:rRNA from 1 species